AAGGCUUGACAUAUACGAGAACGGGCUAGAAAUAGUCAACUCUUUGGACACUCGUAAACAGGUGGUGCAUGGUUGUCGUCAGCUCGUGUCGUGAGAUGUUGGGUUAAGUCCCGCAACGAGCGCAACCCUCGUUCUAUGUUGCCAGCACGUAAUGGUGGGAACUCAUGGGAUACUGCCGGGGUCAACUCGGAGGAAGGUGGGGAUGACGUCAAAUCAUCAUGCCCCUUAUGUCUUGGG
rnacentral:rRNA from 1 species